rnacentral:rRNA from 1 species
GAGGAUGGUCAGCCACACUGGGACUGAGAUACGGCCCAGACUCCUACGGGAGGCAGCAGUCGAGAGGCUUCGGCAAUGGGGGAAACCCUGACCGAGCGACGCCGCGUGGGCGAUGAAGGCCGUUAGGUUGUAAAGCCCUGUCGAGCGGGAAAAAGUGUAGGCGGGUGAACAAUCCGCUUACUUGAUGGUACCGUUAAAGGAAGCUCCGGCCAACUCCGUGCCAGCAGCCGCGGUAAUACGGGGGGAGCGAACGUUGUUCGGAAUUACUGGGCGUAAAGGGCGUGCAGGCGGUCCUGUAAGAGAGGUGUGAAAUGCCCUGGCUCAACCAGGGACAUGCACCUCUGACUGCAGGACUUGAGUAUAGGAGAGGAUGGGGGAAUUCCCGGUGUAGCGGUGAAAUGCAUUGAUAUCGGGAGGAACACCAGUGGCGAAGGCGCCCAUCUGGCCUAAUACUGACGCUCAGGCGCGAAAGCUAGGGGAGCAAACAGGAUUAGAUACCCUGGUAGUCCUAGCCGUAAACGGUGGGCACUAGGUGUAGGAGGCAUCGACCCCUCCUGUGCCGCAGCUAACGCAUUAAGUGCCCCGCCUGGGGAGUACGACCGCAAGGUUGAAACUCAAAGGAAUUGACGGGGGCCCGCACAAGCGGUGGAGCAUGUGGUUUAAUUCGAUGCAACGCGAAGAACCUUACCCAGACUUGACAUGUACUGGACCGGUGUGGAAACACACCUUCCCUUCGGGGCCGGUGCACAGGUGCUGCAUGGCUGUCGUCAGCUCGUGUCGUGAGAUGUUGGGUUAAGUCCCGCAACGAGCGCAACCCUUGUCCUUAGUUGCCAUCAAGUUAUGUUGGGCACUCUAGGGAGACUGCCGUCGAUAAGGCGGAGGAAGGUGGGGAUGACGUCAAGUCCUCAUGGUCCUUACGUCUGGGGCUACACACGUGCUACAAUGGUCGGUACAGAGGGUUGCAAUGCCGCGAGGUGGAGCCAAUCCCAGAAAACCGGCCUCAGUUCGGAUUGCAGUCUGCAACUCGGCUGCAUGAAGUUGGAAUCGCUAGUAAUCGCUGAUCAGCAGGCAGCGGUGAAUAUGUUCCCGGGCCUUGUACACACCGCCCGUCAAGCCACGAAAGUUGGCAGUACCCGACGUCGCUGUCCUAACCAUAAGGAGGGAGGCGCCUAAGGUAAGGCCACUGAUUGGGGCUAAGUCGUAACAAGGUA